GACGAACGCUGGCGGCGUGCUUAACACAUGCAAGUCGAACGGAAAGGCCCUGCUUUUGUGGGGUGCUCGAGUGGCGGACGGGUGAGUAACACGUGAGUAACCUGCCCUUGACUUUGGGAUAACUUCAGGAAACUGGGGCUAAUACCGGAUAGGAGCUCCUGCUGCAUGGUGGGGGUUGGAAAGUUUCGGCGGUUGGGGAUGGACUCGCGGCUUAUCAGCUUGUUGGUGGGGUAGUGGCUUACCAAGGCUUUGACGGGUAGCCGGCCUGAGAGGGUGACCGGCCACAUUGGGACUGAGAUACGGCCCAGACUCCUACGGGAGGCAGCAGUGGGGAAUAUUGAACAAUGGGCGGAAGCCUGAUGCAGCAACGCCGCGUGCGGGAUGACGGCCUUCGGGUUGUAAACCGCUUUCGCCUGUGACGAAGCGUGAGUGACGGUAAUGGGUAAAGAAGCACCGGCUAACUACGUG
rnacentral:rRNA from 1 species